UGCGAGUGAAGAGGGAAGAGCUCAUCAUUGGAAUCUGGCAGUGUUGCACUGUCCGAGUUGUAGAUGAGGAGUAGCCCAUCUGGACUGCAUGGCAUCCAAGUACAAUAGGCCGUCAGUGGGACAUCAUAGAGGGUGACAAUCCCGUCCUUGAUGCCAAUGUGCAAGUCCGCUUACGAUGGCUAUCUCAGAGAGUCGAGCAGUUUGGGAUUUGCUGCUUAAACAUGGGAGGUAGAUUCCUUCUAAAGCUAAAUACAGGCGAGAGACCGAUAGAGAACAAGUACCGCAAGGGAAAGAUGAAAUAGAACUCUGUGAAGGGAGUCAAAAGGCGUGAAAUUGUUGCGAGAGAAGCGAUUCAAGUCAGCGUAGCUAGGCCCAUCAAGCCUCUUUGCUUUGGACUAGCUUUGCCAGCGGUCUUGUCCUAGAGACUUGACUUUGUAUUAACAUGUCCAGCCUGGUAUACACAGGUAGCCCCUCUUGGGGGGCCAGUGGCAUGGCUGGUG
rnacentral:rRNA from 1 species